AAAAAAAAUUGUAAAAUGGUGAAUUUUUGCACUAUUUGUGGAAAGAAAGCUUCGUUUUUGGGUGGACACGAGCUUCUGUUUGUUCACUAUGUGUCAAAACAGCCUUUAAUCUUGAUUCCGGACGGAUUACCGUGUGAUGAACUUGAAUGCCGUGAGGUUCAUGUUUAUAGUUUACGGAUAGUUUGAAGAAUAGUCCUUUGUCCAGCUGUGGUUAACAGGAAAAAAAUGAUGAAAUUGUUUGCUGAUUGCGGUAGUCUGCACUGGUACAAAUUCACUCUAGUUGUGUUUUUAAGGUAUUGAUGAUUUUAUAUAUAAAAUAGAAAUAUAAAAAUCCUGUCAUACUGUAUUAUACCUAAAUUUAAUAUAUAAAAUACAGUCAUCUAUGAUGUGAUUGACUGAUUGAUAUAUUUUGCUUAAAAUUGUUGUAAUACAGCUGUAUUUAACGUAUUUUUAUUUCAUAUCAUGUAGUUCUUCGACCCUAAUGAUCCACUGGAAGGAGGUAACAAAGUAUAUAACAAUGUUGUGGGGAGUUUGAUAUUUCAACAUCACCUCAACGAUGGCUCUGGGUACGAGUUGCACCAACAUCCCAAGCAAUCCCACCAUGUGACCCAGAUAGUCAAGAUGAUGAGCUGGACAGUGUAGUUCCACCAAUAGAUUUACAUCAGCCAACUGAUUGUACUUGUUUUAAUUUACCAAUAAAUCCUGUUUGGACACACCGAAUAAUGGAAGAAGCGCCCAGUGGUAGCAGUGUUGAUGAUGAACCUGAAGGAGGGGCAGUGAAUGUAGAGAAUGAAAUGGACGAAAUUCAGCAUUUAUAUUGACUACUGUGUAAUGCAUUGCAUUUUACUCUGCCUAACGCCAGAUUAUUUUACUCUGUCUAACACUAGAUGAUUUACUCAUCAGGGGGAGAGUGCUGCCACUCAAUGGGUUAAAAAACAUUCAAAUAAAAUGUUUAGCAGAAGCUGCAAAAUUGUAUGUUGGUGUCUGGUGUGAUACUGACAUUUCUUUUAUUUGUAAGGAUAGAGCUGGGGAGCUUAUAGUGUUACAGUCUUGGCCCCACCCCAGUUUUCCUGUACUGCAUGUGUUUUCCUCACUUCCCUGAUUGUAGCAUAAGUGUUGAUUGGUAUACCAUGGACACCAUCUUAUCAGUUCUGCAGUUUUUUGACAAUCUAUGUAUGGUUUUCAUGAUUUUCAGUGUAUAGUCUUCCCCAACCUUGUACCCAGGGUUCUCUUUGUACAAAGAGAACCCUGGGUAAUGAGGUUAAGUCUUCCCUUGCUCAUCACAAAUUAAUAAAAAGAUCACACACUACAUAAUUGAUGUUUAUAAAAUUUAUUUAUUUUAAUUAAAAUCGAAAAAAUAUUAACAUAAUAUUACUGUAC